rnacentral:rRNA from 1 species
GACGAACGCUGGCGGCGUGCUUAACACAUGCAAGUCGAACGGAAAGGCCCUGCUUUUUUGGGGUGCUCGAGUGGCGAACGGGUGAGUAACGCGUGAGUAACCUGCCCUUGACUUUGGGAUAACUUCAGGAAACUGGGGAUAAUACCGGAUAGGCGCUCCUGCUGCAUGGUGGGGGUUGGAAAGUUUCGGCGGUUGGGGAUGGACUCGCGGCUUAUCAGCUUGUUGGUGGGGUAGUGGCUUACCAAGGCCUUGACGGGUAGCCGGCCUGAGAGGGUGACCGGCCACAUUGGGACUGAGAUACGGCCCAGACUCCUACGGGAGGCAGCAGUGGGGAAUAUUGCACAAUGGGCGGAAGCCUGAUGCAGCAACGCCGCGUGCGGGAUGACGGCCUUCGGGUUGUAAACCGCUUUCGCCUGUGACGAAGCGAGAGUGACGGUAAUGGGUAAAGAAGCACCGGCUAACUACGUG